AACUGCGGCACCAACUACAACAGCAGCCCCAACAACCGUUGCACCAACUACAACAGCAGCCCCAACAACAACAGCAGCCCAAACAACAACAGCAGCCCCAACAACCGUUGCACCAACUACAACAUCAGCCCAAACAACAACUGCGGCACCAACUACAACAGCAGCCCCAACAACUGCUACACCAACAACAACUUCAGCCCAAACAACAACUGCUCCACCAACUACAACAGCAGCCCCAACAUCAACUGCAGCCCAACCAACAACUGCUGCAGCAACUACAACAGCAGCCCCAACAACUGUUGCACCAACUACAACAGCAGCUCCAACAACAACCGGAGCCCAACCAACAACUGCUGCAGUAACUACAACAGCAGACCCAACCACAACUGCUGCACAAUCUACAACUGCACUCCCAACAACCGUUGCACCAACUACAACUGCAGUCCCAACAACCAUUGCACCAACAUCAACUGCAGCCCAAACAACAACUGCUCCACCAACUACAACAGCAGCCCCAACAACCAUUGCACCAACUACAACAGCUGCACCUACAACGGUUGCAGCUGUAACAACUGAGGCGGUCACAAUAAGGCAAUUGAUUUUCAGAUCUGCUGGAGAGACUUUUACCACGGACUUGCAGAAUUCAUUAUCUGCACCUUUUCAAACAAGAGCCAUGUCAAUAACGUCAACACUCGGGCCGUUCUACCAAAGAGCCUUUCCUACGUUCCGCUCCUUAACAGUGAAUUCAUUCAGUAAUGGAUCAAUCAUCAACAACAUGGCCAUUGGAUUUGCAUCAACUUCUGUUCCUAAUGGCAAUCAGAUUGGAAACGUUUUGGUCGAAGCAGCUUUAACCGUCACAGCCUUCAAUAUUGAUACCAACUCCAUUGUUGUCGAUGGCUUACCCCAAACAACAACUGCUGCAACAACUACAACAGCAGCCCCAACAACCGUUGCAACAACUACAACAGCAGCCCCAACAACAACUGCUACACCAACUACAACUUUAGUCCAAACAUCUUCUUCACAAACUACAAGAACAGCCCCAACAACCACUGCUUCACAAUCUACAACAGCAGCCCCAACAACCGCUGGACCAACUACAACUGCAGCCCAAACAACAACUGCUGUAGCAACUACAACAGCUGCCCCAACAACCAUUGCACCAACUACAACAUCAGCCCAAACAACAACUGCGGCACCAACUACAACAGCAGCCCCAACAACUGCUACACCAACAACAACUUCAGCCCAAACAACAACUGCUGCACAAUCUACAACAGCAGCCCCAACAACCGCUGGACCAACU